rnacentral:rRNA from 1 species
UACGUAGGGGGCUAGCGUUGUCCGGAAUCAUUGGGCGUAAAGCGCGUGUAGGCGGCCCGGUAAGUCCGCUGUGAAAGUCCAGGGCUCAACCCUGGGAUGCCGGUGGAUACUGUCGGGCUCGAGUCCGGAAGAGGCGAGUGGAAUUCCUGGUGUAGCGGUGAAAUGCGCAGAUAUCAGGAGGAACACCAAUGGCGAAGGCAGCUCGCUGGGACGGUACUGACGCUGAGGCGCGAAAGCGUGGGGAGCGAACAGG